rnacentral:lncRNA from 1 species
GCCCCUGUUUCUCCUCAAAAUUAUGUCGUCUGCAACCGAUGUAAUUUUUCGAUCACUCCCUCCACUCUAGGAGGAGUUAAACAUCACAAUCGCCGACUUUCGCGAUAAGUCACGCCUCUCGCGUCCAGACUUUCUAAGGUUUGCCAAACUUAGAGUUUCUAGGUCCCAACGACCUAAUUCUAACCUCUGAUAACAACUUAAUCUGUCACGCCCCGGAUUACAUCGUUUCCCCGAGCACGUCAACAGACCUGCCGUAUACAUAAGAAUUUCUCGUGUAUACGAAGUGAUAGCCGUACCUGUAAUCACAACAUAACUACAACCAGAA